UACGUAGGGUGCAAGCGUUUAAUCGGAAUUACUGGGCGUAAAGCGUGCGCAGGCGGUUGUGCAAGACCGAUGUGAAAGCCCCGGGCUCAACCUGGGAACGGCAUUGGUGACUGCACGGCUAGAGUGUGUCAGAGGGGGGGUAGAAUUCCACGUGUAGCAGUGAAAUGCGUAGAGAUGUGGAGGAAUGACCGAUGGCGAAGGCAGCCCCCUGGGAUGACAC
rnacentral:rRNA from 1 species